GGGGAAUAUUGGACAAUGGGCGAAAGCCUGAUCCAGCCAUGCCGCGUGUGUGAAGAAGGUCUUCGGAUUGUAAAGCACUUUAAGUUGGGAGGAAGGGCAGUAAAUUAAUACUUUGCUGUUUUGACGUUACCGACAGAAUAAGCACCGGCUAACUCUGUGCCAGCAGCCGCGGUAAUACAGAGGGUGCAAGCGUUAAUCGGAAUUACUGGGCGUAAAGCGCGCGUAGGUGGUUCGUUAAGUUGGAUGUGAAAUCCCCGGGCUCAACCUGGGAACUGCAUUCAAAACUGACGAGCUAGAGUAUGGUAGAGGGUGGUGGAAUUUCCUGUGUAGCGGUGAAAUGCGUAGAUAUAGGAAGGAACACCAGUGGCGAAGGCGACCACCUGGACUGAUACUGACACUGAGGUGCGAAAGCGUGGGGAGCAAAACAGGAUU
rnacentral:rRNA from 1 species